GAUGAAGAACGUAGCGAAAUGCGAUACGUAAUGUGAAUUGCAGAAUUCAGUGAAUCAUCGAGUCUUUGAACGCACAUUGCGCCCCCUGGUAUUCCGGGGGCCAUGCCUGUCCGAGCGUCAUUGCUGCCCUCAAGCACGGCUUGUGUGUUGGGCCCCCGUCCCCCUCUUUUUAGGGGGGGACGGGCCCGAAAGGCAGCGGCGGCACCGUGUCCGGUCCUCGAGCGUAUGGGAAGCAACUCUUUUUGUCACCCGCUCCUGUAGGUCCGGCCGGCGGCCUGCCCAACCCUCAAUCAAUCUUUUUAACCAGGUUGACCUCGGAUCAGGUAGGGAUACCCGCUGAACUUAAGCAUAUCAAUAAGCGGAGGA
rnacentral:misc_RNA from 1 species